CACUGCUGACGAGUCCCGAACAGGACGAAACAGCUGUCCAGGGC
rnacentral:hammerhead_ribozyme from 1 species